GUGGUUGUGGCUCAGUGAUAGGGUUCUUGCCUAGCAUGUGUGAGGCCCUGGGUUCGAUCCCCAGCACCACA
rnacentral:tRNA from 1 species